AUGUUGAAGGCCUCAAACGUGAUCCAGAGAUGGAUCGAGUUCUUUGCAGAUUUUAUGGAAGAUGAUGAUGAUGUAGGUGCUGAGAGAGAUAGCUUAAGGGAUUUUUUGAUAUUUUGGUCUAAGCAGCCGCUAGUUGCAGUUUUGAAGCAGUAUUAUCAAGGCAUUGUUGCACCGUGUCUUGAUUUUCCCGGAUUAUGGAACACGAAGUACGAAUUCAAGUUGGUUUGGUGA